rnacentral:lncRNA from 1 species
GAGUGUCUAAGAGAUUCAAAGAAGAAGAAGAAAUCAACCAUCAAAGAUCUUCAUGAGCUAGCACUCCCGAGGAGAUUGAUUAGAAACCGAUCUUCAUGUGGACGAUCUAUAGAGAUGGACAUCUUGUGCGGCUGCGAGCAACCUGAAGGAGCUCCAAUCCACAUGAUACAAUUAUGGAGAUCAACACCCUACACUUCGAUAAUGAGUUUUGAACUCAUUAGAUCAGAUUUGAUUAGAUCUAAUGGUUAGAUCUAAUCUAGAGCAUCAAUAUGAUCGAUGCAGAUUUUAUUUUUUUAGAUCUUAAUUACAUAUUUAAUCAUAUCAUAGAUC